rnacentral:tRNA from 1 species
GGCCUGUAGCUCAGGUGGUUAGAGCGCACCCCUGACAAGGGUGAGGUCGGCAGUUCAAGUCUGCCCAGGCCUACCAAUUUUCCAUUAUGCUUCGNUAACGCAUUGCUCACGUACUGUUAGUACGCGACGCAAGACGUUCCUCGCCUAAUAGAAAAUAUACCUU